AUCGGCGUCGCCAUCUUUGCUUGGCUGUUGUGCCUAACCUCUUGACUUUGCAAAAGUAUAACUUAGUCCUUUCAAUUUAAAAUUAAAAUGUAAUAGUGUAUAAUCGUAUCCAUAUUAUAUUAGUAGCCUAAGAUUUUUGUUGUUAGGUAGUUUACCUUCAGUUUUUUAGUUUUCUUUCACCAAAGAAUAUCGUUAUUGAAGAGGCUGUCUCCCAAACCAAGAAGCUGUUUUUCAACCAGUUUCCAGAGGCCAAAGAAAAAGAAACAUCGAGACGGUGAUAAAAGAUUGGCUAAGACCGUCAUGAAAUCGAAUUGUUAGCAAGUAGGAAGGAAGGAGAGAAACGACUGAGGAGGGAGAAACGACUGAGGAGGGAGAAACGACUGAGGAGAACGAAGACUGCAUCCCAUAAAUGGCUCAUGGACUC